UGACAAAAGACUUGUUUUCCUUACCUGAGUAGUUUCCUUAAGCCUUAGUUUAUUUAAAGAUUUAGGAUAUCUGAUCAUCUCCUUCUACAUCUGUUCUACUGUAACUUUUGAAUCCUUUGUGAUGAAUUUUUCUUUUAUAAAAGCAAGGAAAUAAAAAUUUUUAUAAAUGAUGAUGAGUAAUGACAGUGGAUACAUGAAAAAGGAUAAAUGGGUGAAGUAAAGGAAACAUUUUCGAAAUGAAAAUGUAUCCCGUUGAUGCAAAACUGUCUAUUGAACAUAGAAAAGACGUUUCCCCUAUUUUAUGUGAAUCAAAAACAAAAGGUACAGCAGGAAAUCAAAAAAAUCAAGACAUCUCAUCCAAAAAGGUCAGGAAUCUAAAGAUGAAAUUGAGGAUGAAGAAUUGGACACCAGUUUUAAUAUAUCAGCACUCAAACUACCCAUAUGCACUUCAAGUCCACUGAAGUACGCUGAAGCAUUGAAAGAGAAGCAAGAAGUUUAUUUUCCUGCCCUCACCCAACCAUUUUCUAUCAUUCAUCCAAAACCACUAAUUAAAAAACACACAGUAUCAGAGAGGAAGAGAAGAGAGAUAUUUUCUACACAGGGACCUGGCAUAAAAUUCCAAAUGCUUAAUGAUGUAGAUAAAUAUUACGUAGAACAAAAGAAGCUGGACCUCCAUAAAGAAAAAGUAAAAGCUGUAGCCAGGGCACAAGCUGCCCAAGAAAGAAUUAUCCUAACUGCUGAUGAAAAUUUAAACAAGAAAAAAUGUAUUGCACAGAAGAUGAGUGAAAGACAUAACAAGACAAUUCAGAGAGGUUUACAGCAAGUUUUGCAGGAAAGAUUAAACUAUCUUGCAAAAGUUAAAGAGAGAAGAAUGCUUUUUCUAGAACAAAAAAAACCCAGAAGGCUGCAGACCACUUAUUAA
rnacentral:lncRNA from 1 species